AGAGUUUGAUCCUGGCUCAGAACAAACGCUGGCGGCGUGCCUAAUACAUGCAAGUCGAACGGGGAAAGCUUUCAGGUGAGUACUAGUGGCGCACGGGUGAGUAAUAGGUGGGUAAACUUCCUUAGAGUGGGGGAUAACCAGUCGAAAGAUUGGCUAAUACCGCAUAUGACCACAAGAUCUGCGGAUCAAGGGGUAAAACGUUUUUGGCUCUAAGAUGUGCCCGCCCGGGAUUAGCUAGUUGGUGAGGUAACGGCUCACCAAGGCAACGAUCUCUAACUGGUCUGAGAGGAUGACCAGUCACACUGGAACUGAGACACGGUCCAGACUCCUACGGGAGGCAGCAGUAGGGAAUAUUGCACAAUGGGGGAAACCCUGAUGCAGCGACGCCGCGUGAGUGAUGAAGGACUUCGGUUCGUAAAGCUCUGUCGCAAGGGAAAAAGUUCUGAUUGUACCUGCAAG
rnacentral:rRNA from 1 species